CGGUACGUACUGGCAUUGUUGGUUUCUCCCUUCUGACGAACCAUGAUGUCAUUUAUUUGGUGUUGUGGGGAAUCAGGACUGUUACUUUGAAAAAAUUAGAGUGUUUAAAGCAGGCUAAGGCUUGAAUACAUUAGCAUGGAAUAAUGAAAUAGGACGUUCGAUCCUAUUUUGUUGGUUUCUAGGAUUGACGUAAUGAUUAAUAGGGAUAGUUGGGGGCAUUAGUAUUCAAUUGUCAGAGGUGAAAUUCUUGGAUUUAUUGAAGACUAACCACUGCGAAAGCGUUUGCCAAGGAUGUUUUCAUUAAUCAAGAACGAAAGUUAGGGGAUCGAAGACGAUCAGAUACCGUCGUAGUCUUAACCAUAAACUAUGCCGACUAGGGAUCGGAUGAUGUUAAUUUUUUAAUGACUCAUUCGGCGCCUUACG
rnacentral:rRNA from 1 species